rnacentral:rRNA from 1 species
AGAGACAGCAGUCGCCACGGUAAUACGAAGGGUGCAAGCGUUACUCGGAAUUACUGGGCGUAAAGCGUGCGUAGGUGGUGGUUUAAGUCCGUUGUGAAAGCCCUGGGCUCAACCUGGGAAUUGCAGUGGAUACUGGGUCACUAGAGUGUGGUAGAGGAUAGUGGAAUUUCCGGUGUAGCAGUGAAAUGCGUAGAGAUCGGAAGGAACAUCUGUGGCGAAGGCGACUAUCUGGGCCAACACUGACACUGAGGCACGAAAGCGUGGGGAGCAAACAGGAUUAGAUACCCGAGUAGUCCCUGUCUCUUAUAC